rfam:Biomphalaria glabrata isolate BB02 linkage group LG64i unlocalized genomic scaffold LG64i_random_Scaffold547, whole genome shotgun sequence.
GCCGGGAAUGGUGGCGCAUUCCUGUAAUCCAGCUACUUGGAGGCUUGGGUUGUUGGACGGUUUGAGGACGGGAGCUCUGCUCUCGGAUGUACUGUGUCGAUCGGGUGUCCGCACUAAGCCUGGCAUCAAUAUGGCGUUCUCGUGGGAGCAUGAGACCUCCAGGUUGACUAAGGAGGGAAGCACAGGCUCAGGGGGGAAACCCAGCAGGCAAAAUUCCCCGUGUCACGCAGUAGUGGGAUCGCACCUGUGAAUGGACGUUCGUUGGUAGCCCGUCCGAUACAACUGAACACAGCCCUUA